GAAAAAUGCAAAUGAAAGUGCUUCAGAAUAGUACCUUAAGAAGAAAAGGCAAAGGUAUUGUGGUGAAUUAAUGGAUCUUUUCAAAGAUAUGCAGGCUGAUUUUUUUGAGAGUAAUGAGCAGCUGUUCUUAACCAGUGAGAAGAGGACAAGAGAAGGAAAUAGGAAGAACCUGUAUUGGAUAGUGGUACCUUCUAGCUAUCAGAGCUAAUAGCCCCGAGGUUAUCUCUGCUACAUGAGCUCUCAUCAGGUUAUGAGCAUCAUGGAGAAGAGGACAGUGUGUGGUUUGUUGACUGUCAUGGGAAAGAGGUUUUGGAGGGAAGAAGAACAAUAUAAUUUCUGUCUGCUGAAUACCCUACAAAUAAAUAAACUUUCUACUGGACCUGAAAAUAGUAAAACAUUUCUCCUAUCAAUAUUUCACCAACCUCUUUCUUAUCUCCUGAUUAUUUGGUAAGAAAAAUACAAGAUAAAUCCUGGCCCAGGCAGAAGAACGACUACCAUAAAGAAUGUAUGCGGAAUACUAAAUUGAGGUAACACCAAGUCAAACGGAAGCUAGCAUACAGAAGGAAAUUCUGAGCCAAGACUCUUGCUGUGUCUUUAACUUAGUCUCAUUGUGCCCUGUUAUUGUUGCAUUUAUAGUUGGGAUUCUUGUUAUUUAUGAAUUGAAUUCCCAAGUUCUUAUCUUGCUGUUAUUGUAAAAUGUCACAUGAUAUUUUGUGCUAAAUCAAUAAAUGCAAGUUGUCACCACUGUA